CGCGCUGCAUUAGCUAGUUGGUAAGGUAACGGCUUACCAAGGCAACGAUGCAUAGCCGACCUGAGAGGGGGAUCGGCCACACUGGAACUGAGACACGGUCCAGACUCCUACGGGAGGCAGCAGUAGGGAAUCUUCCGCAAUGGGCGAAAGCCUGACGGAGCAACGCCGCGUGAGUGAUGAAGGUCUUCGGAUCGUAAAACUCUGUUAUUAGGGAAGAACAUAUGUGUAAGUAACUGUGCACAUCUUGACGGUACCUAAUCAGAAAGCCACGGCUAACUACGUGCCAGCAGCCGCGGUAAUACGUAGGUGGCAAGCGUUAUCCGGAAUUAUUGGGCGUAAAGCGCGCGUAGGCGGUUUUUUAAGUCUGAUGUGAAAGCCCACGGCUCAACCGUGGAGGGUCAUUGGAAACUGGAAAACUUGAGUGCAGAAGAGGAAAGUGGAAUUCCAUGUGUAGCGGUGAAAUGCGCAGAGAUAUGGAGGAACACCAGUGGCGAAGGCGACUUUCUGGUCUGUAACUGACGCUGAUGUGCGAAAGCGUGGGGAUCAAACAGGAUUAGAUACCCUGGUAGUCCACGCCGUAAACGAUGAGUGCUAAGUGUUAGGGGGUUUCCGCCCCUUAGUGCUGCAGC
rnacentral:rRNA from 1 species